rnacentral:rRNA from 1 species
UACGUAGGUGGCAAGCGUUGUCCGGAUUUAUUGGGUUUAAAGGGUGCGUAGGCGGCAUUUUAAGUCAGUGGUGAAAUACGGCAGCUCAACUGUCGAGGUGCCAUUGAUACUGGGAUGCUUGAGUAUUGAUGAGGUAGGCGGAAUGGACGGUGUAGCGGUGAAAUGCUUAGAUAUCGUCCAGAACACCGAUAGCGAAGGCAGCUUACUAAGGAGUAACUGACGCUGAUGCACGAAAGUGUGGGGAUCAAACAGG